rfam:Chthonomonas calidirosea T49 complete genome
GCUAAAGAUACACAGGGCUGCUGGUGGAUGCCUUGGGGCGAUGUGCCGAUGAAGGACGCGCCAAGCGGCGAUACGCGGUGGGGAGCUGCAAGCAAGCGAUGAUCCACCGAUCUCCGAAUGGGGCAACCCGGCGGGUGUAACGACCCGUCAUCCCGCUUUGCGGGAGGGGCACGAGGGGAACUGAAACAUCUAAGUACCCUCAGGAAAAGAAAGCAGAUGCGAUUGCCUAAGUAGCGGCGAGCGAACGGGCAACAGCCUAAACCGACAGGCCUGUCCUGUCGGGGUUGCGGGGCCGUCAAUACGGGGACCGAUACGGUGUUCUAGAAAGUGCCUGGAACGGCGUGCCAUAGAGGGUGAGAGCCCCGUAUGGAACGUUGUGUCGGCUCUAGACGGUACCCAAGUACCACGGAACACGAGGAAUUCUGUGGGAAUCUGGGAGGACCACCUCCUAAGGCUAAAUACACAUCGCCACCGAUAGUGAACCAGUACCGUGAGGGAAAGGUGAAAAGCACCCCGGGAGGGGAGUGAAAGAGAACCUGAAACCAGUCAGCCCGCAAACAGUCAGAGCCUCCCGUUAGGGAGGUGAUGGCGUGCCUUUUGCAUAAUGACCCGGCGAGUUACUGGCGGUAGCCGCUUAAGCCACUCUGUGGCGUAGGCCGAGCGAAAGCGAGUCCGAAUAGGGCGCGUUAAGGUUGCCGUCAGUAGACCCGAAACUGCGUGAUCUACCCAUGGUCAGGGGGAAGCGGGUUUAAGCGCCCGUGGACGCCCGAACCAGUGUACGUUGAAAAGUGCUUGGAUGAACUGUGGGUAGUCUGGUGAAAUGCCAAUCGAACGCAGAGAUAGCUGGUUCUCCCCGAAAUGCAUUGAGGUGCAGCCUCAUUCGUUCUGUCUCGCAGGUAGAGACACUGGAUGACCUAGGGGCCUUCCCGGGUUACCGAAGUCAACCAAACUCCGAAUGGCGAGACACCACAGAAUGGGAGUGAGACUGUGGGGGAUAAGCUCCAUAGUCGAGAGGGAAACAACCCAGACCUUCCGCUAAGGCCCCCAAAUGUGGGCUCAGUGUGAAAGGAUGUGAGGGUGCACAGACAACCAGGAUGUUGGCUUUGAGGCAGCCACCAUUUAAAGAGUGCGUAAUAGCUCACUGGUCGAUGUGUCCUUGCGCCGAUAAUGUAAGGGGGCUUAAGCCCACUGCCGAAGCGAAGGCGUGGCCCGCAAGGGCUACGGGUAGGGGAGCGUUGCGUUCUCCGGUGAAGCCGUAGGCGAAAGCCGCGGUGGAGGGAACGCAAGUGCGAAUGCCGGGAUAAGUAGCGAAAAGACGGGUGAGAAUCCCGUCCGCCGAAAGCCUAAGGUUUCUUAAGGAAGGCUCGUCCUCUUAAGUUUAGUCGGUCCUAAGGCGAGGCCGCAAGGCGUAGCUGAUGGCUGUCCGGUUGAUAUUCCGGAACCGGGUGUAGGCGUUGAAUGGCCGGGGACACUUCUCUGGCGUCCGUCGUGCAGCUGGUUGCACGUUGGGGUAACCCACUAGUGGAGCCCUUCGGGGCAAAGCGAAGCGGGCAAAAGAGGGGUCGAGAAAAGCCGGUCUGGAGCCUACAUUCGACCGUACCGCAAACCGACACAGGUAGGCGCGUAGAGGAUACGAAGGCGCUCGAGAUAACUCUCGCUAAGGAACUAGGCAAACUGACCCCGUAACUUCGGGAGAAGGGGUGCUCCUCGCAAGGGGAGCCGCAGUGAAAUGGGCCGAGCGACUGUUUACCAAAAACUCAGGUCUGUGCUAAGCCGAAAGGCGACGUAUACGGGCUGACGCCUGCCCAAUGCCAGAAGGUUAACGGGAGGGGUCAACCGCAAGGUGCAGCCCCGAACUGAAGCCCUGGUGAAUGGCGGCCGUAACUAUAACGGUCCUAAGGUAGCGAAAUUCCUAGUCGGGUAAGUUCCGACCCGCACGAAUGGCGUAACGACUUGGCCGCUGUCUCAGCGAGAGACUCGGUGAAAUUGUAGCAUGCGUGAAGAUGCGCAUUCCCCGCCGCAGGACGGAAAGACCCCGUGGAGCUUUACUGCAACCUGUCAUUGCGUGGCGAAUAUGGAUGUAGAGCGUAGGUGGGAGCUUCGGCGCCAAUGGAACACCACCCUUCUGUAUUCGCUACGCUAACCCGCAAAGUGAGCCUUUGCGGAGACCGUGGCAGGUGGGCAGUUUGACUGGGGCGGUCGCCUCCUAAAAGGUAACGGAGGCGCCCAAAGGUUGGCUCAGCCUGGUUGGAAAUCAGGCAGUGCGUGUAAGGGCAUAAGCCAGCUUGACUGUGAGGCCGACGGGCCAAGCAGAGACGAAAGUCGGGCCUAGUGAUCCUCUGGCUACGCGUGGGCGUGCCAGGGCUCAUCGGACAAAAGCUACCCCGGGGAUAACAGGCUUAUCUUGCCCAAGCGCUCACAGCGACGGCAAGGUUUGGCACCUCGAUGUCGGCUCGUCGCAUCCUGGGGCUGGAUCAGGUCCCAAGGGUUGGGCUGUUCGCCCAUUAAAGCGGUACGCGAGCUGGGUUCAGAACGUCGUAAGACAGUUCGGUCCCUAUCCGCGGUGGGCGCAGGGAUUCUGAGGGGGGCUGACCCUAGUACGAGAGGACCGGGUUGGAUGGACCUCUGGUGUACCAGUUGUGCCGCCAGGCGCAGACGCUGGGUAGCUACGUCCAGAAGCGAUAAGCGCUGAAAGCAUCUAAGCGCGAAGCGCGCCCCAAGAUGAGAAUCCCCACAGCGUGAAGCUGGUAAGGUCCCCGGCAGACUACCGGGUUGAUAGGCGGGAGGUGUAAGCAUGGUGACAUGUUGAGCCGACCCGUACUAAGUGACCGAGGUCUUUAGCGC